UACGAAGGGGGCUAGCGUUGUUCGGAAUCACUGGGCGUAAAGGGCGCGUAGGCGGCCGCUCAAGUCGGGGGUGAAAGCCUGUGGCUUAACCACAGAAUUGCCUUCGAUACUGUUUGGCUUGAGACCGGAAGAGGUGAGUGGAACUGCGAGUGUAGAGGUGAAAUUCGUAGAUAUUCGCAAGAACACCAGUGGCGAAGGCGGCUCACUGGUCCGGUUCUGACGCUGAGGCGCGAAAGCUAGGGUAGCAAACGGG
rnacentral:rRNA from 1 species